UACAGAGGGUGCAAGCGUUAUUCGAAAUUAUUGGGCGUAAAGCGCGAGCAGGUGGUGAGGUCAGUCUCAUGUGAAAGCCUCGGGCUCAACCCGAGCGGGUCGUGGGAUACUACCUCGCUAGAGUGUGGAAGAGGAGAGCGGAAUUCCCAGUGUAGUGGUGAAAUACGUAGAUAUUGGGAGGAACACCGGCGGCGAAAGCGGCUCUCUGGUCCAUUACUGACACUCAUUCGCGAAAGCGUGGGGAUCAAACAGG
rnacentral:rRNA from 1 species